rnacentral:lncRNA from 1 species
AUAAGAUAGAACAAACACAUACCACAGGGAGAAGGGGCCACAUUUGACCUGUGGGAUUAGGAAAGACCAAAAAAAAAAAAAAAAAAGCCGUGAGAGAAGGGGACUUCAGCACUGCGAGGCGGGAGCGGGCUAGUGAAGGGAAGAAGUGGGCUGGCUCCUGACGCACUUUCUGCUGGUGGGAGGGAAACCAGGGACCCGAGCCCACUGGUGACGUUUCCUUCACGUGAUCAGAAGCCGACGUGUGCAGAAGUCCCUCUCCUCCAGGUACCAGCUCCCCAUUUCCGUGGAGAAAGAUUUCAGACUGAGGGACAGAGCGGCAACUGCCCUAGAGCCCUGCAGGUCUUCAGGUCUGUGGUUGUAGGCACCAACCCAGACAAGAGAGGAAAAGACCUGCAGGACCAGUGCAGGUCAGUGGGAGAAAGUAACUGUCCUGGAACCCCUGGGAGUAAGAAUGACUUAAGCUUGAGCAGAAGUUGAGGAGGCCACUACCUGCCAACCCUCCUCCAGGCCACCCUACUGCAGUCUCAGAAUACGUGGCCUCAGUCAGGACUCUCAGGGAAGAAACACGGUGCUUUAUGGCUGUUGAGGACCGAGGGGAGAACAAGGAAGUGAGAGACAGGAAGCCUGGCCUCUGUGAAACCCCUUGAAGGUAUUAGAGUAGCCCUGAAAUCUGAGAAGUGGCCAUUAUUCUAUUGUGUCUGCGGUUCUAGAAGUCUUAAAACUGCAGACAAGGGAAAAAAGCAACUGGCCAGGAUUCCUACAGGUCAGUGUAAGUCGGGACUAUGCACUUAAAAUUGUCACAGGCAUAGCUAACGCCAGAGCAAAGUUUAGGGACAAAGCUGCUCUUACACACUUCUCAGCACACCCCACUUAAAUAGAGAAAGAAGCACCUGUGGGAGUUUGUGUAAGGGUGUUAUCAUGUAAACAUGUGUGAAGUGGGAAGGAAAGGAAAAAAUGUCUGGGUGGGAGUGCACCUGUAAUUCGGGAUGGGGUGAGGAAAAUCCUAAAUCAUAAAAGGUAAUUAUUUUCAAGCUCUGUUUUCCCCAAUCUGAGUCCUCCUUUUUAUUUCCUAGGACAGGC